AUGAAUCCUUGUUUGCAGACUGUAAAUGCACUACAGAAAUAAAGAAAGUGUGUAUGAGAGCUGGCAGAGCAAAGGGGGCAAGCAGAGCCAAGCACCGUGAACAAGGCUCAGGGUCAUAGGGCACACAUGAUAGUGUAAUGCAGGAGGAGUGCGAGCUUUGUCACUGGGCAUUCAGGUCUUCCCUGGCAGGAGACUGCUUACGUGCCACACAGGACCCUGCCACCGUCAAGUCCACUCUCCUGCCUGUGCAGAGGUGGAAGCUGUUCCUAGGCUGAUUUGCAGCAUUAGAGGGCAGGCAGCCACAGCUGAAGGGACCAAAGACAUCAAAAACAAGCAUUUUUCAAAAACUGAAGUCAAUCAAAGGAGUAGUAGCAAUAAAGAGGAAGAUUGUUAUCAUGGGGUGAAGAUGAGGCAAUGCCAAGUAUAGUGCCGCGUACAGAGCCUGGAGCAAGAGUCUUAAAUCACAACAGAUCACAGUUUCUGAAGGGAACUCUGUUGGUGAAGAAUAAUCUUCUAUGAACUUGCUGGUGACCGGCUCUCACAUUACAAGAGUUGGCGGUUAAAACUGACGUGGAGAGUUUCUUGUACUGAUCUGGCAACGCUUUCUGCAAAAUACCAUCACAUCUCCCUUCAGCCCCAGAACUUCUGGCUGCUACGUUUUGUCUUAUCCCUCUGAUGUAUUUAAUCCCAAGUGUGACAUAAUUACAUCAUCAAUGAACUCUUUUUAAUUAACUGGCUGAGGGUAAACAUAAUUGAACUCAACUGUUUCAUAUUUUGAAGGGUGUGUACUUUUAUUUCUGCAUGAUUGUACUGGGGCAAGUGAGUUAUAAACA
rnacentral:lncRNA from 1 species